rnacentral:lncRNA from 1 species
UAUAUACUUGUUUAUGUUUGUGGUCCUUUGACCAUAAUGUACAUAAUAACGGAAAAAACCCAAAAAUACAUGUGUGUGCACUGUUGGAUUUGAUCUGAGACAUUGGACUAAGAAUUAGGAAACACUCCCUAUGCAAAAGGACUUGGUCAAUGCCAACUUUCAUGAAAGCAAGUGCCUGUGAAAUGAACUUUCAUCUGAUGCAAAUAUUGAAGAUCCAUUUGAG